rnacentral:rRNA from 1 species
AUUGAACGCUGGCGGCAGGCCUAACACAUGCAAGUCGAGCGGAUGAAGGGAGCUUGCUCCUGGAUUCAGCGGCGGACGGGUGAGUAAUGCCUAGGAAUCUGCCUGGUAGUGGGGGAUAACGUCCGGAAACGGGCGCUAAUACCGCAUACGUCCUGAGGGAGAAAGUGGGGGAUCUUCGGACCUCACGCUAUCAGAGGAGCCCAGGUCGGAUUAGCUAGUUGGUGGGGUAAAGGCCUACCAAGGCGAGGAUCCGUAACUGGUCUGAGAGGAUGAUCAGUCACACUGGAACUGAGACACGGUCCAGACUCCUACGGGAGGCAGCAGUGGGGAAUAUUGGACAAAGGGCGAAAGCCUGAUCCAGCCAUGCCGCGUGUGUGAAGAAGGUCUUCGGAUUGUAAAGCACUUUAAGUUGGGAGGAAGGGCAGUAAGUUAAUACCUUGCUGUUUUGACGUUACCAACAGAAUAAGCACCGGCUAACUUCGUG